UGCAGCUGCAGGAGUCAGGCCCUGGACUGGUGAAGCCCUCACAGACCCUCUCUCUCACCUGCUCUGUCUCUGGUUACUCCAUCACCAGUGGUUAUGACUGGUGCUGGAUCCGCCAGCUCCCAGGGAGGGGGCUGGAGUGGAUUGGGUACAUAAGUAGUAGUGGAAGUGCUUACUACAGCCCAUCCCUCAAGAGCCGCGCCUCCAUCUCCAGAGACACAUCCAAGAACCAGUUCUCCCUGCAGCUGAGUUCCAUGACCACUGAAGACACAGCUGUGCAUUACUGUGCGAGAGACACAAAAAAAUGGGAAGGACUU